CAGCCGCCACGGUAAUACGUAGGGCGCAAGCGUUAUCCGGAAUUAUUGGGCGUAAAGAGCUCGUAGGCGGUUUGUCGCGUCUGCCGUGAAAGUCCGGGGCUCAACCCCGGAUCUGCGGUGGGUACGGGCAGACUAGAGUGAUGUAGGGGAGACUGGAAUUCCUGGUGUAGCGGUGAAAUGCGCAGAUAUCAGGAGGAACACCGAUGGCGAAGGCAGGUCUCUGGGCAUUAACUGACGCUGAGGAGCGAAAGCAUGGGGAGCGAACAGGAUUAGAUACCCGGGUAGUCCCUGUCUCUUAUAC
rnacentral:rRNA from 1 species